GCUUGUCUCAAAGAUUAAGCCAUGCAUGUCUAAGUAUAAGCAAUCAUACUGUGAAACUGCGAAUGGCUCAUUAAAUCAGUUAUCGUUUAUUUGAUAGUACCUUUACCUGGAUAACCGUGGUAAUUCUAGAGCUAAUACAUGCAUCAAACCCCGACUUCUGGAAGGGGUGUAUUUAUUAGAUGGAAACCAAUGCAGGGCAACCUGGAAUAUGGUGAUUCAUAAUAACUCGCGGAUCGGUUUACCGAUGCAUCAUUCAAGUUUCUGCCCUAUCAGCUUUGGAUGGUAGGGUAUUGGCCUACCAUGGCUUUAACGGGUAACGGAGAAUUAGGGUUCGAUUCCGGAGAGGGAGCCUGAGAAAUGGCUACCACAUCCAAGGAAGGCAGCAGG
rnacentral:rRNA from 1 species